GAGGCCAUAGCUCAGUGGUGGAGCAUUUGCUUUGCAUUGAGAAGGUUGUCAGUUCAAUCCCUGGUUGGCCUGA